rnacentral:rRNA from 1 species
GAUUUCUGACAAGGCAUGCCUAGCCCGCCACCUCUGGUGUGUGAGUGCCGGGUUGUGUCUGUCAUCCUUCUAGAAAGCGGUUCUACCCUUCAUUGGGCCGGGAUUAGCGAUCUAGAUCUUUUACUUUGAAAAAAUUAGAGUGUUUCAAGCAGGCGUUUUGCUAUGAAUACAUUAGCAUGGAAUAAUAAUUUAGGACUUUGGUUCUAUUUUUGUUGGUUCAUACGAACUAAAGUAAUGAUUGAUAGGGAUAGUUGGGGGUGCUAGUAUUCAGUGGCCAGAGGUGAAAUUCUCGGAUUCACUGAAGACUAACUUAUGCGAAAGCAUU